CUGGCACUCACCAUGGUGACCCGGCCGCCACCGCCCCUGUCCCGAAAGCACCGAGCGCGAAGGACCCGAGGGCCGGAGCCGAGCGCAGGAGCCCGCGCGGCUGACAGGGUUUUUAUCUGGGACCUCAGGAAUCUCCUCGCCCACGUGUUGUAAGCAGAGCUAAGGGCUUGAAAAGAGUCACCACUGGGGUGUGUCCAAGUCCAUGGCACUGCAGAAGCUGGACCCUCAGACCUGGGUCACUCCCAUUGCACUGUGGACUCUGUCCCCAAAAGGAGGGGCCUAAGAACAAAUGCCAAGAAGGAACCAGAGAAGAAAGACAGAGCCCUACAAGACAGGAGUGGGAACCAGGUCUGGGAUCCACUCGAGGAUCCACCCUCGAAGGAUCCCGCCAGCCAGUGGAGACAGGGCCUCUGACAUCUUGCAGUGACACUCAUCAGAUGUUCAAGUCUGAUCUUCUGGUCCCUCUGGCACAUAAAAAUCCCUAACCUGCACCGAGCACUGUGAGCCUGGCAGGCUGUGAGGACACCUGUAGGCCUCAACUCUGAACCUCACAACUCUAAAUCACUUAACUCUGAAGGUGAUUCUUCUCCCUGUGGUCUGACAAGGAGAUCAGAGGACAAAGGUCAAACACUGGCCCAGGAGCUCACUGUGCUGCUCCUAGGGGGGAUCCCACUGGAGGGAGUCAACCCGCCGCCCACUCCCUUGGCACCUUCCACCCCUUCCUCCCAGGCCCACGGCUGCCUCAGACUGCACGCUCAGUGGAUGAGUACCUGUUGCAUGAGCCAAAACCGGAAAUCACUCAAGUCCCCACUGAGGAAAGUUCCUGGGCUCCAUGCCCCCCCCCCAGCACCUCCCCUUCCCUUCUGGGCCCUGACAGUUCUCAACCCCACACCUCUAUUUCCUGUCCUCAGAGGGUUUCUCCCUAGGCCUCACCAACAGCCCAGACCCACUUAGUUCCUUAUAGGUUCCCUCUUUCAAAAAGCUAUGUAACAAGUACCCCAGGGGCUGGGAGAGGAGCUCUUGAGCAGCACUGCCCAGUACAGGCCUUAUGGAAAAGUACCCUGAUGUGUUCUUUCUAGGUCAUUAACCAGGCACUCAGGAUGGGACCAGGCCUCACAUCUCAACCCUCCCCCACAGAGGGUUUCCCCCAGUGCUCUCUUCUCCAUCUCCCUCCCCAAAGCAGGCUCCAGCUCCAUGUCACCCCCAUCACUCCAAGUGAAGCAAGGGAGAGGAAAGGAACAGAUAUCUAUUAUCUGCUGUGGAGUCUAGACUGGCUUCUUUAUAUGCCUUAAUCUUCAAUGCAUAUCGCUCUACACAUCUUGCAGGUAAUGAAACCAGCCAGUGUACCCAGUACUUGCAUAACAUGCAGAUGUUAACACAGCCAGUGAGAAGCAGCCCUGGAAUUCAAAGCCAGUGAAGGCUGGGGCCCAAGUCCAGGACGGGUUCCAUAGCACCUCCUGUUGUUCUCCUCUGGGAUCCCAGAAACUGGGCAGAGCAAGAGGAUGAAUUUUGCAGGAAGAAAGAGUAGAAUCUGAUGACCAUUUCUUCAUCUGUAAAAUGGGAAUAAAACAAUUUCUACUACAGAGUGUUCUUAAAAGUAUUAGCUUAAAUAAUCUAGGUCAAAGGUGUGUGAGUCUGUGUCAUCCAGACUGGCUGAGCUCAAGUGAACACAACCUAAAAGUAUAAGCUGAUAGCAAAUAUUUUUUGAAUAGAGAUUUGUUCAGCUCUCGGAUUUUUAAAUGAAGUGCCUAAAAUCAAACAGAGAAAUUGCACAGCAAAGGAGAAGCAGUAAAUAGCCAGAGUAUAGGCCACUAAAGACACCAUGAGCCCAAGUGAAGGGCCUAACUCUUCUCAGGCCAAAAUGCAGGCAUUAGAUCAAAAGGCAAAAUGCAAUACGAUAUUUAUUCCCUGCCUUUUUCUUCUUCUGUGCUUUUUCUCGGGAUGCAGUAGUCUAUUUUAUGAAGGUAGACAUUUUCAAGUUUACUUUUAUAAAAAUAUGGUAAAUUGGAAAGAAACAUUCUUAUUGAGGUUUUUGGAACAUGACAGUUAGAGGGAACCAAUGUGGGAGAGUUACAAAUCAAAGAUAAAGAGAUGAAAUAUCAUGUGCCUAGCUUCCUGCUCACAGUCUUCUAUCUGUACAUCUUUAAUAAAGUGGUUCACACAUCUGCUUCUGUGUAAAUGCAGAUGAAUGUGUAUAUAUGAAAAUGAAAAGAA